rnacentral:rRNA from 1 species
GACGAACCGUGCGAACGUUAUUCGGAAUCACUGGGCUUAAAGGGCGCGUAGGCGGGCCGACGAGCCAGGGGUGAAAUCCUCCAGCCCAACUGGAGAACAGCCCCUGGGACCGGCGGCCUCGAGGGGUGCAGGGGCAUGCGGAACUCAGGGUGGAGCGGUGAAAUGCGUAGAGAUCCUGAGGAACACCGGUGGCGAAAGCAGCUUACUAAAGAGUAACUGACGCUGAGGCACGCAAGUGUGGGGAUCAAACAGG